CUGACCUGCCACCCCACCCUCUCCCUCGGGAUCCUCCCAAAUGCCCUCCGCAUCAACCCACACACAUCCAGCCACCUCCCUAGACCCACCAACUAUCCACCCAUAGCCGUCAGAUCUACAUCCAAUGGCUCUCUUGCCCCAGUUCGUCCGACCGAGCAACCCCGAUCUAGCCUCCCAGCGCAGCCGCGCUUGAUCCACCUCCUAGAGCGCUCCCGAGGCAUGAGCUCCUCCAACCUCACGGCCCCACUGCCCCCGGCAAACCUCGCCGCCGGCGACCAGCACCAGCAGGCCCGUACCGCCCCUCUCUUCCCUGCCUCCUCUGCUCUCGGUCUCCCUCUCUCUUGUUCUGUGCUAUCUCUCUCCUAUAAGGAACACCCAUGGACCUGUCUCGCCGUCCAUGGAGCUCCGCCACCGGCCGAGUCCGGCGCGACCGACUAGAUCCGGUCGCCCCUCGUCUUCCCCUCCACGCAAGCACCUGCGAGCCACCCGGUCUUCCCGGAGCUCUUCACCGCGUCUACACCAAGUCCCCGUUAGAUGCGACCAUGACCCUCCGCACAACAGUUCCACCGGGAAUCAAACCAGAACGAUGCGUCGCAUCCGAAUCCGCACGUCCCGUGGCCGCCCACUUUCCACACCUCUAUUUCAUUCGAGUGAGGAGGAUGCCCCAUCUUCCAUUGACCGCAUCGUGCUGGCCUGGCACCGCGCCAAUGCACGGGCCAUGAUCUCCCCAAGGCUCAGCCGCCUACUUCCUUCUAGAUGGCCCGCUACCUCCUCCACCUUUUAAUCUUGUCAUGUACAUAAACAGGAAGAACUAAAUAAAUGAAUAUGGUGUUUCAUGAAUAUGCAACUCAUUGCAUAUUCAACUCCACUUAAUUUGUAGUAUUUGAUUGUUGCACUUUGUCACGCCAUCCAAAACAAUAAGCUACGCUCAAUGGGUGACCAACAAGCGAUGCCACGUGUCUAGGAAAGUAUCGAGGAGAAAAAAGGCAACGAUUAAUUCCUUUCCUUCCGUGCGGAAGGUAGCAAUCAAUUCCUUUCUUCCCUACGAAGGCAGCUCACGUCUUCAUCUCUACCCCUCUCUAUCUCUCUUUCCCCUUGAGUUAGACACGCCGCUUCCUCCACCCUUCCUUCACAGACUCCCCGCCGUCGCUCCUCCCAAGCCUCGUGGUCCUCCCCCUCUCCUGAGCUCUCUCUCUCUCUCUCCCUCUCUCCCUCUCUCUCUCCCUCUCUCUCUCUCUAUCUCCGUCACCGUCGGGCCGUGCCCUGCAGCCAAUGUGCGGAUCUAGCCGAGAGGAGGGACAUGACUCGAGUAGGGCUAGUCGCUGUUGUGCGCCUGCUUUGUCGUCGUGGGUUUUCGCUGUGCUUCCCGAGAAAAGGAUUGGCUAGCGGCCCAGCCCCUAGAUCCCAUCCCCCGAUUCCUCUCCCUUUCCCUCAUCGACCGCCACCACCGGCGACCUUGCUGCAGUCGCCGCCAUCAACACCCGUACCAUCCCCAACGGCUAACGCUCCCGCCCAUUCCCUUCUCCAUACCAUCGGCGACUUCCUCCCCUCUUCCUCACACUAGAUCGAGCAGCAGGCUAGGAUCCGAUGCAGGCUCAGAUUCGGCAUGCUCGAACCGCUGGUUCCCAUUGAGGAUGCCAUGGACAAGGUGUUAUGGCCUUGGUGUUGUAGCCAUGGAUAAGGUGCUCUAGCCUAAAUGAUGCAGCCAUGAACAAGAUGUGGGCAUCAUAGUUUUGUCUGGCAGCGGAGAGAUGCCUGGAGUUCCAUUACAGUACGAGUACUCUCAGGUUGUUGCCAGGAUCAUAUGGACAAUAUGUACAGUCACGCUGCUGUUAUCCACUUUCCUUCCAUUGACGACUUCAAAUUAUUCAAGGAGAGCAUGGCGUACAAGGAUGUGUGGGUGUUGAAGGUUCAUCCGGUUGUAGAGAGGUGAUAUUUUGAGCUGCAUUUCAUCGUCAACCCCAUGGGAGAUCAAUUCAUGUAGGUAGAUCCUGAGCGGUCGCGCUCUGGGCCUGAUCCUGAGCUUGCUUAUUCACGUGGUCACUGGACUGAGAAGGGACAUGGAUAAAGAUUUUCAUAACAGUGUGGACGAACUGCCAUCGGAGUUGAACCAUGUGAGCAUGACUACAAGCAUCUUCACCCACACUUUACUGGUAUUUAGUUUCCAUUUCCCAACUAGAUUAUUCUGUAGAAUGUACUAAUGUAUAUGUUCUUUGCCUGCAUGCUUGUGAGCGGUGUGUAUUCUGCAAGUUUCAGAAAGAACAACUCAAAGAAUAUAUAACAUUUUGUCGUGGAAGCCCAUGACCAAGGGGAAGCCAUCCAAUACUACAUAAAGAUUGAAGAGUUCACCGUGAGGUUCAUGAGCUUCUACGGAUCAUGCAUAGCGAAGAACUCGAGUAAUUGUAUGAAGGGGGUGAUCCACUCUGGUGAUGACCCACAAGUGUAGGGGAUUUAUUGUAGUCCUUUUGAUAAGAAAGAGUGUCGAACCCAACGAGGAGCAGAAGGAAAUGACAGACAGUUUUCAACAUGGUAUUCUCUGCAAGCACUGAAAUUAUCGGUAACAGAUAGUUUUGUGAUAAGAUAAUUCAUAACGGGUAAGAAGUAACAAGGGUAACAAAGAUGCAGCAAGGUGGUCCAAUCCUUUUUGUAGCAAAGGACAAGCUUCGACAAACUCUUAUAUAAGUAAAGCGCUCCCGAGGACACAUGUGAAUUACUGUCAAGCUAGUUUUCAUCAUGCUCA